ACUGCUAACUCGGGCCACUUCCGUUGCGUCACGUGAGAGAUUAUUCUCAAAGCUCAAGUUAAUCAAAAACUAUCUCAGGAGGUCAAUGACGCAAGAAAGGCUUAGCAUGGCUUUAAUGUCAGUGGAGUCACAAGUACUAGACACUAUCGAUGUAAAUGAUGUUAUAGAUGCCUUUGCUGCACAGAAUGCACGACGUGAAGCAAUAUGAAUUGAGAUUUGUCACUUGUGCAUUAUUUCACCAAUAAACAACGAGUUCGAGUCAUCCGACCAAAGAAGAUACUUCAAAUGCAGGUGCGGCAUUGGUGCUCAAAGUAUUACCAAUACUUCUCUAACAAAGUGGCACAAACUAUGAACUGACCAAAGCACAACAAGCCCAUAGACGUACAUGGAUGAAUAGGAAAUGUGACAUUUCAAAAUGAACAUGCAAGAGUUGAUUAGGAAACAAGUCAUUGAAUCUUGUCGGUUUCUUCCCUUGGUCGCAGGGAAUGAGUAGUAGUUCUUGGAUUGUCCUUUCUAAAGUUUGCUUGUAAUGACCUAGGGCGAAUGUUUUGGUCUUCCGUUCUACUCUACUGUAGGUUGUCAUCAUUAGCAGGAAAUAUAUUUUGUUGCUCUGUUUCUCUUUUCAGUUUGAUAUGUACACUAUUUCACUGGCAUACUGCAUGUCUUUUUAAAGAAUGUGUACGCUCUCUUGGGACUGGAUUCUCUACUUCUCCAUCUUUAUUUAUGCAGAUACUAGAGCCUGUUUAUGAAGGCUCAAAGAAUGACUGAAUACAAAAAACAAGCUACAGAGAAUCAAAUGCAAAUGUUACACAUAUAUCUUACUCUUGAGUUUCACAAGUUGGACAGGAAACUGAUGGCACAUCUUUACAAUGCUAUCUUUUUUUUUUUUUUUGAGGAAUCUUUGUAAAUUAUAAAAUAUGGAACUAAAGUAAAUUUAACAUAUCACAGUUUUCAUUUGUUUUUUUAAUAAGAUAAAAUAUUUUAAAAUGUAGAGAUAAUGGUAGAAUUCAAUAGUAGAAUUCAAUAGUGGAGUCUUUUGUUUUCCAUGGAGGCAGACUGACUCGAAUUUCCUGACAUUAGUUGGGGAAAGUAAUGGUGGUUGGUCCUUGUGCUGACCACAUGGCACCCUUGUUAGCCAUCCAUAUUUACAUAAUCUGCCCAUCUGAUCACUAGGUCUAAAAGGGUACUUUAUUUUUGUUUUCUACAAAGCUUAUAUCUGUAUUGUACAAAGUUUGUACUCAUUAUUUCUCCCACAUCCAAUCACAGAUGGACAUAUUGUGCACAUUUUUUUAUGUAUCUGACAAAACAAGAAUCACUUAAAAAACUGUUUAUUAACUAUUGGGAAUAAAUUAUUUUGUUUGAUAUUGAACAAGGGCAAGAAAUUGUAAUUGAUUGAUGUGGUGGUAUAUGUUUAAUUAGUCCCAUUUAUACUUUAUGUAGAGAAUUUGGUCCUCACUUAAAAACUAACAAUAUAUAAAUCUGAACCUAUUUUCAUAAGCCCUUUGCUGGCACAGUGGUUAGUGUAGUGGCUUGAGGAGGCUGAGCCAUCGAGUUCAAAUUUAAGGCAUAUAAUUUUUGGUUACAAAUUGCAUUUUAAGAGGUCGCUGUAACAUUUAGACUGAUACCACUCCUUGCCCCCCCCCCCCCCCCCCCAUUGGACCAGACAAGUGGUAGGAUGAUUGAAUUAGAUUGAAUGAGUUAGGGAUUGAAAAAACAACCAUGUAUUGAUUGUGUACUUGAGAAUGAGAGAUAAUAAAAUUGCCUUAAACAAAUAAAAAGUACAUUUUGUUUAGAUAUAAGGCUUAUAAAGGAAACAUUUGUUUAGACAUAAGGCUUAUAAAGGAAACAUUUUGUUUAGAUGUAAGGCUUAUAAAGGAAACAUUUUGUUUAGACCUAAGGCUUAUAAAGGAAACAUUUUGUUUAGACAUAAGGCUUAUAAAGGAAACAUAUUGUUUUGAUGCUCAUCACUAAGAUGAAGAAAGAAGUCAAUAGCCUAUUAUUACCACCCUCCCCCCCCCCCCCCCCAAAUGUUAGGGUUUCACUUAUUUUAGUAUACUUUGUUGAGACUAUUAUAGAGCAAGGCUCAUUGUUGAGUUUAUACUAAUAUUUAAUACCUGCAAUGGUACAUAAUUUUGAUUUGCUAUACCAAAGUCUACACAUAAAAUUUAACUAAAAUGGCAAAAAUUCUCAAUCAAUUUGAAUUUAUUUGUACAUCUAAUAUUAUAGUUCCUGCUGAAUGGUCUCAAUGACUUCUAUCAAGACUAACAGGAUCAAGUUUCAAUAUUAUAUCUUGUAGGGAUGUAAAAGAAAGGAAAGAUUAUUCAUGUGUCAUUGCCUUCAAAUGGUUGAAAUUGAUAUUGAAGUUCCAACACAACUUUGAUCAUUUUGUAUUUUUGACUUUUAUUUGUAUGAAUGCAUUUAUAAUAUUAAAGACUCUGUUUUUUUUUAAA